UACGUAGGGUGCGAGCGUUGUCCGGAAUUACUGGGCGUAAAGAGCUCGUAGGUGGUUUGUCGCGUUGUCCGUGAAAACUCACAACUCAAUUGUGGGCGUGCGGGCGUGCGGGCAGACUGGAGUACUGCAGGGGAGACUGGAAUUCCUGGUGUAGCGGUGGAAUGCGCAGAUAUCAGGAGGAACACCGGUGGCGAAGGCGGGUCUCUGGGCAGUAACUGACGCUGAGGAGCGAAAGCGUGGGGAGCGAACAGG
rnacentral:rRNA from 1 species